CUCAUCGUUGCUUUCUUCUUCGAUUCUGGGCAGCUCCGACGCAUCAAUCGAUCGUCACAAGCACCAACAUCAAACUCGUCCCAUCUCUGGCAAGCCACCAUACCAACUCUUAUCCACUAAUCUUUGAUGCCUCAUAUGAAUUUGAAAUCCAAAAUCCUCAAAGUUGUUGGCAAAGUAUCGCUAGAACCAGAUCUACAAUGGCCAAUCAAAUUUUGUUGAUCGGCAAAAUCGAAUCCUCCAUCUUCGGCAUCUGCGGCGGUGAAAAAGCAAAUCGCCACUGUAAUUGUUUUGUAAGCUUU
rnacentral:lncRNA from 1 species